UGGCACUGUGGCUUUCCAAAUAAAGUUCUGUGAUACACUCAGACUCUUAACUGCUUGCAGUCAGUGCAUUACAGAACUUUGUUUUGGGAGUUAAUAUUUUA
ensembl:miRNA mir148 microRNA mir-148